rnacentral:tRNA from 1 species
GGGGUUGUGGCUCAGUGGUAGAGCGCUUGCCUAGCACGUGUGAGGCACUGGGUUUGAUCCUCAGCUCCA